CGUUUCAUUCCUUUACACAAAAGCUUCCACUUUCUUCCAUUGAACUCUUCCUGAAGUGCUCAAAAAUCUCUCUCUUUUUUUCUCUCUUCAUAUAGUCCUAACCCAAAAAUAUAAUACUACUUAAUUCUCAAAACCUAGAAAAUUCCAUUGAAAAUCUUCCUCACGUGUUCAAGAUUCUCCUCUGUUUUCCCGGGAAUUCAUCUGAUUCUAUAAGUGGUUUUCUGUUGGCAGACACAUGGCACCAAGAUUAAACAUUGAUCGAAUAACAACCGACACGCCAGAUUGGACUUCCAAAGUCCAAAUUAUCGACAUGAGCCGUGAGCGAGAAAAUCCUGAGAAGAAAAUCAGAUUACAAAAUUUAAUUUUGGAAGAUGAAGAGGAGCAGCAAAUUAAGGCCGUUCUGUAUGGUGAUGAUAUUGGGUAUGCAGAGAAGGUUCAAAUCUCGGAGACAUAUCUGAUUUUCGCUGCAAGAGUUCGAGUUUCGCCCACUUUAUACGGUAAACCAAUGCACAAGUUUUAUUGGGUACUCGACAAAGAAACUAUAGUUGAACAUGUCAAGCCAACUGACGAGCAUGAGAAACCACUCCCACCAUCAACUAAGCUGAAUAUCACAACUUUUGAUCGCAUCGUUUAUAUGACUCCUCAUUCUUCUGUAGAAAUUAGUAUACCACUCCUACCAAUUAUUAGCAAGCUCAAUUAUAUAUGCUUAUACAUUUAAGUACAACAUUCAUUUCCGAUUAUAUGCCCUUAUUUUCCUUUGGAAGCAUAUGCAUAUCCUUACGAUAGAUGCUCAAAAAUUUAGUAUUAUAUUCCCCGCACUCUCAGCAAAAAUGAUUUCUACUCACUUUAUGGGAGGACUUCGGAGAAAUUGAAGGAACUGAGCUCCAAGCUAAAAUGGGAAACGAUGAAGAGUUCCCUGUAAUCCUUGGAAGGAGUAUAGGAAUAUCUUCUUAUCAGGAUUCAACUCAACAAUACACAUAAAUCCUGCUUACCUACAGGCAUUGGAGCUCAUCAACUGGUACUAACUUUUCAACUUUACUCUUUAACAUGCCCUUGAACAACAUAUUGAAUAUUUUAUUUGCUGUGACAAUAGGGAAAAAACAAACAAACACAUGCUUUCAAGUUAUGCAUCAGCCAGCUUGUCUGUGUCAUCAACGUCUCUCGCCGUAACUCCUGCUCAGCAGCAAGUUAUCCCCAUCGCAGAAAUUUCAACACAGACUUCGAUUGGAGUUUUCUAUGUUGAGGCAGAAAUGUUUAUUUCAGAAUGAGCUGCAAAAAAUUUUGCGUGCUUCCUUAGUCGAUGAUUGGUGUUUUACCUUUUUUUUCUAGGUACUUCAAAAUACCUCCCUGCUAUGUGGUUUUUGCAAUAGCAAAGGUUGGCAACUAAUAUUAGGAGAUUGUAGCUCCAGCUCAUAUGAAAUGAUAAAUGAAGAUACUUGAAGAUGUUAUUUGAAUAUAGUCAUGCUAAAUAAUGUACGUAUCUUUCUGUAGUUAUGCUAAACAAUGUACUUAUCUUUUCUUAUGGUAUCCGUUUUUCAUAUAUAACAAAUCAUAGCUUCCUGAUAA